GCCUCCGCCCUCCCGGAGCAACCGCGGGGGCGGAGGUGGGCAGAGGGGUCUGGGACCCCUCUGCCCGCGGGUCUGCGGUCGGAGCAGGUAGCACUUGCACAAGUGUGUUUUAGACAGAGAAGGACAGUGUAUGGGAACUGAGGGACAGAAACAAGAAUACAGCUGCACUGGUUGGAGUUUAAAGACAGUUUCCAGAUAGUGGGAAUCCCCUCUUGGAUUUGAGAGCAACCACCCUGAAAUUUUGGAGGAGGUUGCAGCUCUGGCAAAACAGCUGUCCCAGGAGGGGACAUCUUCAGCCACAUUUAGAGGUGAAGAGGAUACCCACACAGAAGUGAGAAUUUCCUGGACCAAAGCACAGCGGGGAAGAACCCAAACCACUCACGGCUGACUUGUCUUGGGCAAAGCGAUUGUGAGAUGUCCAGACGAGGAGAAGAGCGUUCCCAGACCAGCCGCUUUGGGUGUCAUGCCUAAGUCAUUAACACCAAGAUUACACCUGACCCUGCCGAGGAUGCACAUAACGAGGUGAGAGAGCUGGGAUGUGACCUUGGCCAAUGCAUCAGGUGGCUCCAGCUGAGAAUGGUGAGGCCAGGCUUCCCAGCAGGAGCAGGGCUGCAAGGUGAGUGAAGCUGUGAGCACCAAAGUGGCUUUGGUCGUGCCACACAUUGCUAUCACAUAAUAGACUGACAGUGCAUCCCAUAGAAUAAGGAGUUUCUUAGCUGUGCUAAGGUCAAGGUGGGCUCUGGGAAGGAACCAAAUGUGUAGCAAAAGUGCUGUAAAGUGAGUGCUAGGGGUGGCAAGGCUCCUGGGGGAAGCUGGUGCUCUGCCAUGGGUGGUAGCAGGUGCCUGGGUCUUUAGGGGAACUGGCUUCAGGUAAUUCCUAAGCAAUUGCCUGGCCCUGCUUUAUUGGACAAAAUGGCUGAAGCAUAUUUUGUUCCGCUGAUGUGAGAAAAGGCCACGUCAGUCCCUGUUGGGGAGGCAUUAAUUAAAGGAACUAAUGGUGAGUUCCUAAAAUAUCCAUCAGAGUGAUCAGGAUGUCUGCUGAGAGAAAUCUGACUUGCUGGGCUUCAAGUUGUGCCAAGUCAUUGUGUUAAUCAGGAAAUGAGGGUGUUCUGGGGCAGGUAAAACAGAAAUAAAUCACGCUGACCCUCCUCUGGUACUUUCUGCUCAUAUUUCCAAAGCCACAUUUUGGGAGGUGGCUUACAUACGUUCGUUAUGUCGCUACUUAGUAGGAUGUAACAGCUCUGAAGCACUUUUUUUUUGCUUACGUUGUGGUUAAUGCUUUCAGCACAUUGUAUAGGAGUCUCUCCUUACUAAAACUACCAUCCUAAGCACCCGUCUCUGAAACUCCCCUGCUAAGUAUCCCUUUCAGGGACUGCAUUAGAAGAAUGUUAACCUAAUUUAUGGAAACCUGACAUGACAAUUCGUGGUAAUAGGUGAUAAAAAGUUGAAACCUUGUGACAGAGGACAUUCGUCUCUGACCAUGAUGUCAUCGUGGGAAGUUGCAGAGGGCUGGCUGAGGAGAACACAGGCCUUGUGAGCAUGGGAUGAUGAAUGAGGGGAAGUAUUUGCAGCAUCACUCUAAAGAGCCAUUUACAUCAGACAGGAUCAUUAUUUCCACACAUUCCAGUAGUUCCUAGUGUGGACUGGCCUUAUAUAUCCAAACUUUUAUGGGUCCUCUAUAUCAUUUGUGUGGCAGUGGUGGGUUUUUGACUUUAAAUGAACCUAAUUAAUAAUUCUUCAUCUGUGAUUGCUUAUUAAGGCAUUUCCAGGAGAUCAGAUGGUGGGAGAGGAGUGGCUGGUGGUCACUCCACUUCAUACUCUGAAGGAGAACUCCAACCCUCCCUGAGGGUUGGAGUGCUUUGAGGAUGAGGCCAGAGGUACAGAUUUACAAUUAAGUUUGUGUUCACAUUAAAGGGUUAAUAAAUACUACACUAAUACACUGUGCAGAUGGUCUUUUCUUUGCAGAAGCACCUUUCUGAACGGUCUCCGCAUCCUCGCCGUCGCAGGCACAUCAACUGGCAACAUCGGCUAUUGGCAUCGUCUGCCCCCAAAGGCAUCUUGCAGACCUUCCACUGUGGCACCAAUCCUCACUUGUGUGCUGUGAAAAUCUGUUCCUGAAAAGUUUUCUGGUCUGACAACUUACCUGCUUACAAUAAAAUCCAAGGGCACUUGUUUAAAUGCUCUGUUUCCAGUAAAUGAAACUACACCAUAGAAGCAGCUUUGCCCCUGCCUGGUCAUUUUAAAUCAUAGGGGUUUGUUAGGGGAACCAGGGCAGUGUUUGUUAUAAUUUGUCAGCCCCUGAGGGUUGCUUUCAAAUUGGAGACCAUUAUUAUCUGAGAUUAGAGCUAUCCCCAGCUUCAUUUUUAUACUAUCAUCAGCAGACAUGAGUUUAAAAGACAAAAAGACAGAAAGAGGCAGCAUCCCUGCCCCAGCAAAUACAUGGUCUGGGGACUGAAACAGAUUUAUUGAAAUCAAUGUGCACUUUAGCAUUGAUUUCUUUGUGCAGUGAGGCCUCUUUUAGAGCUUGUCAGCUUUUUCUUGUAAAGCUGAAAUGAGACUAACCUGAUGUAGAAACACUGAGGAUUUUGAGGUGACACCUCUCUCUCUAUCUCUCUCUUUCUCUCUCUCUUUUUCUUUCUCUCUUUCUCUAGACUUCUGAGACACCACAGAAUAACUUUUAUUUAAAAAUAUGUUUAUCACAUUUACUGAAGGUGUCCAGGCUGCCUAAAAAUAUACAUAAUGCAUGCAAAAUUCAAUUUAGCAUUGGCAGGGGACUUGACCAGAUGAUAUAACUGGUCAUUUAUAACCAGCUAUGACUGUAAUUGCAUGUCCACAUUGUGCUGUUUAAAAUCUUAAAUUCAUCUCACACCAUAUUUUCAUUUAGUGAAAGGAAUUUAUUUUAGCAUCAUUCUUUCCCCGUGUCACAAGAGCAAUUUUUCGCUGUUGAUAAGAAAAUGUCAUUUUUUGUUUAAAAAUUGCAAAUGACAAAGCCAUUGCCAUGUCUCCUGAGCUUUUCUUAUUUAUUGAUUGUCUCCUUAUUUAGUGAGUAAUUUCAAUGAAUUUUAUAAUAAUAACAAUCCGUA